UUUGGACUCAAGACCAGACUCCUAAGUGGUGAUCUACAAGGCUCAGCAGCCUCAGGCCACCACUUGGUGAGCCACUGUGCCUGGCCAAAACUGAGCAUCUUUUGGUAUGCUUAAGAGCCAUUUGCUUUUUCCUCUUUUUGAUCUUUUUUUGACCAUUUUCCCGCUGAGUUGUUGGUCUUUUCUUUUCUUUUGAGACAGGGUCUCGCUCUGAUGCCCAGGCUGGAGUGCAGUGGCAUGAUCAUGGCUCACUGCAGCCUCAACUUCUUCGGCUCAAGUGAUUCUCCCACCUCAGCCUCCCCAGUACCUGGGACUAUAGGCAUGCAUCACCAUGCCUGGCCAAGUUUUGUAUUUUUUGUAGAGAUGGGGUUUUGCCAUUUUGCCAGGCUAUUCUCGAACUCCUGGGCUCAAGCAAUACACCCACCUUGGCCUCCCAAAG
rnacentral:lncRNA from 1 species